rnacentral:rRNA from 1 species
GUUGAACGCUGACAGAAUGCUUAACACAUCAGCAAUUGAUUGGUGGCGGACGGGUGAGUAACGCGUAAAGAACUUACCUCACAGUUAGGGACAACAUUUGGAAACGAAAGCUAAUACCUAAUACUGUGAGAGAGCUUUGCGUCCCAUUAGAUAGUUGGAGAGGUAACGGCUCACCAAGGCGAUGAUGGGUAGCCGGCCUGAGAGGGUGAUCGGCCCCAAGUGGACUUGGAAACGGCCCUGACGCCUACGGGAGGCAGGAGUGGGGAAUAUUGGACAAUGGACCAAAGUCUGAUCCAGCAAUUCGGUUUGCACGAUGAAGUUUUCGGAAUGUAAAGUGCUUUCAGUUGGGAAGCGGUACCAGCAGAAGAAGUGACGGCUAAAUACGUGCCAGCAGCCGCGGUAAUUC